rnacentral:rRNA from 1 species
GAUUAAAACUCAAAUGAAUUGACGGGGGCCCGCACAAGCGGUGGAGCAUGUGGUUUAAUUCGAUGCAACGCGAAGAACCUUACCUACUCUUGACAUCCAGAGAACUUUCCAGAGAUGGAUUGGUGCCUUCGGGAACUCUGAGACAGGUGCUGCAUGGCUGUCGUCAGCUCGUGUUGUGAAAUGUUGGGUUAAGUCCCGCAACGAGCGCAACCCUUAUCCUUGUUUGCCAGCGAGUAAUGUCGGGAACUCCAGGGAGACUGCCGGUGAUAAACCGGAGGAAGGUGGGGACGACGUCAAGUCAUCAUGGCCCUUACGAGUAGGGCUACACACGUGCUACAAUGGCGCAUACAGAGGGCGGCCAACUUGCGAGAGUGAGCGAAUCCCAAAAAGUGCGUCGUAGUCCGGAUCGGAGUCUGCAACUCGACUCCGUGAAGUCGGAAUCGCUAGUAAUCGUGGAUCAGAAUGCCACGGUGAAUACGUUCCCGGGCCUUGUACACACCGCCCGUCACACCAUGGGAGUGGGCUGCAAAAGAAGUAGGUAGUUUAACCUUCGGGAGGACGCUUA